rnacentral:rRNA from 1 species
UACAGAGGGUGCGAGCGUUGUCCGGAAUUACUGGGCGUAAAGAGCUCGUAGGUGGUUUGUCGCGUUGUUCGUGAAAACUCACAGCUUAACUGUGGGCGUGCGGGCGAUACGGGCAGACUUGAGUACUGCAGGGGAGACUGGAAUUCCUGGUGUAGCGGUGGAAUGCGCAGAUAUCAGGAGGAACACCGGUGGCGAAAGGCGG